rnacentral:rRNA from 1 species
UGCCCAAGAGAUCGGGAUAACACCUGGAAACAGAUGCUAAUACCGGAUAACAACAGAUGAUGCCUAUCAACUGUUUAAAAGAUGGUUCUGCUAUCACUCUUGGAUGGACCUGCGGUGCAUUAGCUAGUUGGUAGGGUAACGGCCUACCAGGGCGAUGAUGCAUAGCCGAGUUGAGAGACUGAUCGGCCACAUUGGGACUGAGACACGGCCCAAACUCCUACGGGAGGCAGCAGCG